rfam:Tetraodon nigroviridis, WGS project CAAE01000000 data, contig: CNS0BYOJ, chromosome: undetermined
AGAGGAAUCAGCUCAAAUGGUAGAGCACUUGCUUUGCAUGCGAGAGGUAGUGGGAUCGAUGCCCACUUUCUCCA